AACAGUUACAGACUUACAGGUGUCACCAAAAAGGGAUAAUUUAGUGUGUAACAGUUACAGACUUGCAGGUGUCACCAAAAAGGGGUAAUUUUAGCAGCUGUGGAAUCCAUUGCUUCCCUCGUUUCUUGACAUCCUCCGAGAAAACCCUAACACAGGAACAUAACAUUUAACAAUGAAGCGAAAACGUGCAUAUUUAAGUGCCAAAAAUAAAACGCCAGUGGUGAAGAAGACGCUCCAAAAUACUGUUGCUCUAGUAGCAGAAAGUCAUGUGAUGAAUAAUGAAUCAGAAGAACCCGACGAUGCUACACCACUGUGUAUGGUAACUGUAAAUCCAAGUACUAGUACUACCAUCAAGAGGGGAAGACAAGCAGAUUCAGAGAUAGGAAAAAGUGGUUAUGGGGAGAUGCUAAGUCAUCCAAAUGCAUUGAGUCAAAUCAUUGCAGGUGUUAUUAAAGAGAUUACCAAAGAUGCUGGUGGCCUAACUAACCUUUCAAGGAGUUUGGUUGGUAACUCAAUCAGCAAUGGACAGACGAAGCAACCUCAUGCUGACAUGGAUCAUGAGGAAAACCAAAGCCAACAUCAUCAAAAUCCAGGGUACAAACAGGAAGAGUUGAAUGCUGCCUUAAAAGUGAUCAAAAGGACCAUGAAAUUGAAUGCAGCUGAACCAUUUAACAAACCUGUAGAUCCCAUUUCGCUUGGAAUUCCUGAUUACUUUGAUAUUAUCAAGACACCUAUGGAUUUUGGUACAAUAUGCAACAACCUUGAGAAUGGCGUAAAGUACAUGAAUUCAGGAGAUGUGUUUAAGGAUGUAGAAUAUAUUUGGUCUAAUUGUGUCGAGUAUAAUAAGAAGGGUGAUGUUAUAUUGGAGCUCAUGAAGAGGGUGAAGACAUACUUUAUGAAGUACUGGAAAGCAGCCAAAUUACAAAUUGAACAAACAGCGCCUGUUGUUGAGUCUUGGGUCUUGAGGCACAAAAAAGAAGAAAAAGACAACCCUCAAACUUCAGUUGCCAAUAAUUCUGCUCAUUUGCAGCAAAAGGAGGCUGGUCAAACUGGUCAACCCCAGCAGAGCUCGAACCUCCCACAAUCUUCAUCUUCCACUGAACAAGAUGAACCUAACCCUGAUUCUGUAAUUACUCCAAAGAAGCAUCGUGGGCCUACCCGUUGCCUUGCACUAUUCAACACAAUGGAACGGAUAAAAAUCACCACAAAUGAACUCGGGCAGCCCGUGGGUCCCGGGGCAGCCCAAUUAACCACCUUUGUGGGCGUGAUAGCACGUGAUGUGAACUUCGCUCCCCUUACUUAUAACUGGAAGAAAAUCCCACCAGAGAACAAAGAGAACAUGUGGCAGAAAGUUCUGGUAGGAGCAAGUUUGAUAUUGACCCCAGUUGUCGAAGAUGGGUGCUGUUGUCCAUUAGAAAUAAAUGGAGGACAUUCAAGUCUCGCCUUAAGGCUAAUCAUUAUGAUGUUCAUGAGACUGAUGAAGAUCGCCUUGCAGACCGUGAUCAGCGGGUCCCACCUGAUCAGUGGUCAGCCCUUGUUUCCCAGUGGAGCUCUGAGAAAUCACAGGUUUGUGUCAUAUUCCAUGACUUUAAAGAUCGGGUUAAUUGCAAGAGAUAACAAGAGUAUUUCUGCCAAAUUGAAAGCCACUUGUGCAAGGAUAAAAUUCAGGCACACUGCAGGACCAAAAAGCUAUGCCAGAAUACGUGAGGAGGAGAGGGCAAAAAGGCCUGAUGGGCAGGAACCUUCACAAGCAGAACUAUUUAUAUUGACUCGUACACGCAAAAAUGGGAAACCUGUGAAUGAAGCCACAGCUGCUGUAAUUUCUCAACUUUAUGAAGAGACAUCUUGCAACAAGGAUAUAGGUGAAGAUGAUGCUUAUAAUCGGGUAAUGAAACCGUAUAAAAACGGUGGGUUGUCUCUAUACGGAUUAGGCGGGACCCCCUCCUCUCGUUCCUGCACUGCGGGUCCCACUCCCACUCCCACUCCCACUCCCACACGUGGUGAGGCUUUAAAGUUGGUUGAAGAGAAGGAUGCAGAGAUUGUUGAUUUGAAGAAAAGGCUUUCAUCAGUCGAACAGACAUGCUCACAGAUGGCUGCUCAGGUUGCGGAAUUGGUGUCGAUGAUUAAUCACAACAACAAUCGCAACCACCCUCCUCCCCGUGAAUAUGUUGAUGGCGAUUCAGUUCCAGUGGAUGAUGAUGAUGAUGAACUACCACCACAUCAGUUGGAACCUACCCAUGAAGUUCCUAAAAAACAGAUGAUUUUUGCAGACUCGUGGAAGGAAAAAGAGGUCAGAACUUAAUCCUCAAGUUCCUGCAAAACAGUCUGAACCACCUACCUCUACGUCUAAUCCUCAACUUCCUGCAAAAAAGACUCGUGGAAGGCCAAAGAAAAGGUAGAGAAAUCAAAUCAGCAAAAAGCCAAGGGUUCUUCUCUCAGUUCACGAAAGUUGGUUGAGUAGCUAACUUGUUAAAAAACGUGAAACUAUAUUAUACUAUUUAUUAAACCUGUUCAAUUAUGAAUUUCCUUUUCUUUUUUGUGUCAUUGUAAUCAGUUGGUUAUAUUUUGAUUUUGAUGGGCAGAUCUCGUUUCAAGGUUUCUGAAAACCCAAUCUCCCUCUCUGUUUAUAUUUUAUUAUGUAAUCAUCAACCAGACAACAAAUUUUGGAUAGAGCAACAAAAAAUCUUCUUUUAA